UACGGAGGGUGCGAGCGUUAAUCGGAAUUACUGGGCGUAAAGCGUGCGUAGGUGGUUCGAUCAGUCAGAUGUGAAAGCCCCGGGCUUAACCUGGGAACGGCAUUUGAUACUGUUGGACUCGAGUUUACUAGAGGGGAGUGGAAUUUCAGGUGUAGCGGUGAAAUGCGUAGAGAUCUGAAGGAACACCAGUGGCGAAGGCGACUCCCUGGAGUAAAACUGACGCUGAGGUACGAAAGCGUGGGUAGCAAACAGG
rnacentral:rRNA from 1 species